AGCUCCAAUAGCGUAUAUUAAAGUUGUUGCAGUUAAAAAGCUCGUAGUUGGAUUUCUGGGUCAAGCUCCUGGUCCGCGGUAUUUGCCGUGCUGACUGUGUGUAGCGUUGGCUCAUCCUUGUGGGAAAGUCAGCAGGGCGUUCGUUCGUCGGCUGUCGGAACCGCAUCUUUUACUGUGAAAAAAUUAGAGUGUUCAAAGCAGGCUUACGCUGUGAAUACAUUAGCAUGGAAUAAUAAGAUAGGACUUUGGUUCUAUUUUGUUGGUUGGAGGCCAAGGUAAUGAUUAAUAGGGAUAGUUGGGGGUAUUCAUAUUUAAUUGUCAGAGGUGAAAUUCUUGGAUUUAUGAAAGAUGAACUUAUGCGAAAGCAUUUACCAAGGAUGUUUUCA
rnacentral:rRNA from 1 species